GGGUAUACACGUUUCUCCUGUCUUCAGUCUCUGGGGAGAAGAUUGUUUGUAAAGCAAAAGGGCAUUCCGUUCUCGAUGCCAAAAUGCCCAAGUGGCUUGGUUCCUGCCCAUAGAACCAAUGCCAUGGGCGAGGCUUGGAAAAACCAGUUCCUUUCGCAUUAACUGAGGACCGCCUGCUCUCUGUCCCUCCCCUGAACCUCAGGGAAGAAAGCAGACGGAUCCCUCGUCAUUCCAGUCAUGACACGGCUAAUUUUUGUUCUGAGUCGCGGGUAACGUUCGUUCACAGGAACAGUGUCACUCCUGGUGGAUGCGCUGCCCUCUGCACGGUACCAAAUAACACUGGCGAUGGAAACGUCGUCGUCCGCUCUCAGCGCCUCUGCCAGUGAGUCGUGUGUGUUUACUCAGUAAGUAGGUGAUGGGCUUUCUGCGAUGAGGCAUCAUGGAUGGAGUCUGUCCACAUGAAUUAAGAUGAAGCCAGUAUCAUCUGACUGUAGCUGGUUAGGGGUUGGAGAUGCUCACACAUGUUUAAACUGUAAGAAAUUUUUAGUUUCAUUUUAUCACUGGAAGAGAACUUAAGUUCAAAUAAGCCAUCACCAUGGUGCUAGUAAAAUUUUUUCUUGUUAAGUUUGGUUGGCUGGUUGGUUGGUUUUCCUUUUUGGCUAGUUUUAUUGGUUGGUUGGUUGGUUGGUUGGUUCUUGGCCGCACUCGCAGCCAUGUAGAAGUUCCCUGGCCAGUGAUCGAACCCACACCACGGUUGCAGCCUGUGCCACAGCUGCAGCAAUGCCAGAUCCUUAACCCGCUGUGCCACCCGGGAACUUGUCUUGGCUGGUUGGUUUAAUGUAUAUAAUAAUCCCAGUUGAUGAACACAUCUCUAAGUAAAUGAGUUUUAUAUACCACAUGCCUGAGGUCAUUCUCAAGACUUAUUUCUUCCCCGAGUUUUUCCCUGACAGUAGCAGUUAGUGACAGUGUGACCCAGUCAUCUUAAUUGCUAUAAGUUUGCACAGCUCUUCUGCAUCGCUCUUGGCUAAUGAAUUAGAUUCUUACGUGGCUGACAUAGCGUGUCCCUGACAAGGUGACAGUGUAGAGAAGGACAGGAAGGAGAGGGAAGAAUGAAGAGGGACGUAAACUUUUGUCAGCACGCUAAGACACACGAACGUAACAUCCCAGCCUUUGUCCCAGGAAAAUGGGCCCAGUGAUGAGAACAUACAGAGCACCUCUGGGUCAUUUGCCCUAAUAUUAUGAUUUGUAAUCCUCGACUAUUAAAAAAAAUCGAUGGCAGAAAGUGAGGUGUGAGUGACGUUCUGAAGCGUCGCAGCAAAGAGGCUUUUUGUCAAUCUUACAGUCAGACCUCCAGCCCAGUCCACUGGGCGGUUCUAGAAAACAGCUAAGUUACCUUUGACACCUAGAGUUGUAAGCUCCACAUAUGGAUGAAAAUGUGUUGAAGAAAUCUUGUUGCUUCACUCUUGGGGCUCCCUGACUCCCAUCACGGUGUUACCCACAAACUUUGCAUUUGAAACACAGUGAAGCAGUGGCUCUCCUUGGUGGCAAGGGAUACGUUGACAGCUUAGCUGUUCCUCUGGGAGACCUGUCCCCUGCAGGUCCCUAGAGGAUAUGUUGUUAGCAAGUGAAAAGCUCUUCAAAGAAUCACAUAUCCACAGAAAUCUGCCCCAUGGAAUAGUGUCACAGCCCAGAACACCCUCACUGGAGUUUUUGGAAGACAGACCCCCCCAAAUUCCAGAAGGCGUGGUCAGGGCUGGGCGUCUGCAGGGUGUGCCGGUGUAGGCUCAUGAUUUCCAAAGGCCGGGCGAGCCAAAGCCAAGACCCGGGCUCUGUUUCUCUCUCGUGGGUUAUGAAUGGAAGCCAGAGCAAGAGGCGUGGUUCACGUGGAGAACCACCAGGUGGCAGUGUGGAGAACGAGAGAGCGUUUCUGUCUCCUGGGAGAGGGAUGCUGGUUUAAACUGUUCUCGUCUGUAAAGGACUUUCUUUAACCUGUAAGCUCAGUGAUCAGGAAGGAAAAGGCAAAACACCUGCUUACUUCCAAUGGCGGAUCUAGCCUUUUCAAGCUUGUAGUACUGUGAUUUGGUAAUGUUUCUGAAGCUACCUGAAACCCAUUUAUUUAUAAACUGUAUUUUCAGGAGAGAUUGAAAUAAUUGUUGAAUUAUACGGCAUGAGAAGGAGAAAGAGGCAGGGAGAUCUUAGUAAAAAUUAAAUAUUAAGUUGGAACGGGACCAGGGAGAGCAUCAGAAGAUAAGAAAGGUACAGUGGAUGUUUUAACCAAAUGCUAGCCUAACCCAUUCAUCAAAGGAAAGAACAUGAGUUCUUUUUUCUUAUUUUUUCUUUUUUUAUGCUAUUUUAGGGCCACACCCGCAGCAUAUGGAGGUUCCCAGGCCAGAGGGUUGAAUCUGAGCCACAGCUGGGACCUAUACCACUGCUCCAGGUCAGGAAUUGAACCCACACCUCUGCAGCGACCUGAGCUGCUGCAGUUGGAUUCUUAUCCCACUGCACCACAGUGGGAACUCCCUAGUACUGUUUCUGUUACCUCAUUUCUUAACCUUAUUUUCAAGUUAACUCCUUCAGUUUCAUUAUGUGUAAAAUGGCAAUAAUAACCCAUCCUUUAGAAAGGCAUUGGGAAGAUUAAAGAUAAUAACUAGAAAAGUGCAUAGAAUAUUUCAGGUACUCAAAAAAUGAUAACUGCUUUCUUGGCAUCCCACUAAUAUGAUCAUAAAAUUCUGCAAACUCUUCCUCUUUAGUAGAGCUUCAAAAUUAAUAAAAGGAAUGAAGGAAAUAUAAUUUAAUAGCAUAAAGCUUGUUAAUAAUAACAGAAUUAAACUACUUUAUUUUUUUGCCUUUUUUUUUUUUUUUUUUGUCUUUUUGCCAUUUCUUAGGCCGCUCCCGCGGCAUAUGGAGGUUCCCAGGCUAGGGGUCCAAUCGGAGCUGUAGCCGCCGGCCUACGCCAGAGCCACAGCAACGCGGGAUCCGAGCCGCGUCUGCAACCUACACUACAGCUCACGGCAAUGCCGGAUCGUCAACCCACUGAGCAAGGGCAGGGACCGAACCCGCAACCUCAUGGUUCCUAGUCGGAUUCAUUAACCACUGCGCCACGACGGGAACUCCUUUUGCCUUUUUUUUUAGGGUCGCACCUGUGGCAUUUGAAGAUUCCCAGGCUAGGGGUCGAAGCAGAGCUACAGCUGCUGACCUACACCACAGCCAUAGCAACGCAGGAUCCAAGCCACAUCCAAGCCACAGCUCACGGCAACACCAGAUCCUUAACCCACAGAUCAAGGCCAGGGAUUGAACCCACAACCUCAUGGUUGCUAGUUGGAUUCAUUUCUGCUGCACCACAGCAGGAACUUCUAAACUGCUUUAAAAAACACAGUGUUUUGGACCCAGUAUAACAGCCAUCAGCCACACAUGAUAAUUUAAAUUUAACCUAAAAUCAAAAGUUAAAAGUUGGUUCUUCAAGAAUCCUGCUGUGGUGCAACGGGAUCAGCAGCAUCUUUGGAGCAUUGGGAUGCAGUUCCAGUCCUCAUUCCGGCACAGUGGGUUAAGGAUCUGGCAUUACCACAGUUACGGCUUCGGUCAGCGCUGGCUCAGAUCUGUUCCCUGGCUCCAGGAACUCCAUAUGCUGUAGGGCAGCCAAAAA
rnacentral:lncRNA from 1 species